ACUCAAAUGAAUUGACGGGGGCCCGCACAAGCGGUGGAGCAUGUGGUUCAAUUCGACGCAACGCGAAGAACCUUACCUGGGUUGGAACCCCCCGGAAGUCCGCAGAGAUGUGGAUGUGCCCGCAAGGGAACCGGGUGUCCAGGUGCUGCAUGGCUGUCGUCAGCUCGUGUCGUGAGAUGUUGGGUUAAGUCCCGCAACGAGCGCAACCCUUGUCGUUAGUUGCCAGCGGUUCGGCCGGGCACUCUAACGAGACUGCCGACGUUAAGUCGGAGGAAGGUGGGGAUGACGUCAAGUCCUCAUGGCCCUUAUGCCCAGGGCUACACACGUGCUACAAUGGCCGUUACAAAGGGUUGCCAACCCGCAAGGGUGAGCUAAUCCCAAAAAAGCGGCCUCAGUUCAGAUUGAAGUCUGCAACUCGACUUCAUGAAGUCGGAAUCGCUAGUAAUCCCUAAUCAGCAGGUAGGGGUGAAUACGUUCCCGGGCCUUGUACACACCGCCCGU
rnacentral:rRNA from 1 species